rnacentral:rRNA from 1 species
GAUGAACGCUGGCGGCGUGCCUAAUACAUGCAAGUCGAGCGAACGGACGAGAAGCUUGCUUCUCUGAUGUUAGCGGCGGACGGGUGAGUAACACGUGGAUAACCUACAUAUAAGACUGGGAUAACUUCGGGAAACCGGAGCUAAUACCGGAUAAUAUUUUGAACCGCAUGGUUCAAAAGUGAAAGACGGUCUUGCUGUCACUUAUAGAUGGAUCCGCGCUGCAUUAGAUAGUUGGUAAGGUAACGGCUUACCAAGGCAACGAUGCAUAGCCGACCUGAGAGGGUGAUCGGCCACACUGGAACUGAGACACGGUCCAGACUCCUACGGGAGGCAGCAGUAGGGAAUCUUCCGCAAUGGGCGAAAGCCUGACGGAGCAACGCCGCGUGAGUGAUGAAGGUCUUCGGAUCGUAAAACUCUGUUAUUAGGGAAGAACAUAUGUGUAAGUAACUGUGCACAUCUUGACGGUACCUAAUCAGAAAGCCACGGCUAACUACGUG